AACGAACGCUGGCGGCAGGCCUAACACAUGCAAGUCGAACGCCGUAGCAAUACGGAGUGGCAGACGGGUGAGUAACGCGUGGGAACCUUCCCUAUGGUUCGGAAUAGCUCAGGGGAACCUGGGGUAACACCGGAUAAGCCCUUCGGGGGAAAGAUUUAUCGCCAUUGGAUGGGCCCGCGUCGGAUUAGCUAGUUGGUGAGGUAACGGCUCACCAAGGCGACGAUCCGUAGCUGGUCUGAGAGGAUGAUCAGCCACACUGGGACUGAGACACGGCCCAGACUCCUACGGGAGGCAGCAGUGGGGAAUAUUGGACAAUGGGCGAAAGCCUGAUCCAGCCAUGCCGCGUGAGUGACGAAGGCCUUAGGGUUGUAAAGCUCUUUUGGCGGGGAAGAUAAUGACGGUACCCGCAGAAUAAGCUCCGGCUAACUUCGUGCCAGCCGCCGCGGUAA
rnacentral:rRNA from 1 species